AUGACCAUGUAAAUAAACAUCUCUUUCAAAUGUACCCAAAGUAAUUUAAAAGUAUAGUUAUAGGCCCAUGGAGACAGGAAGUAUUUAUUUUUUGUUUGUUUGUUUGUUUUUAAAAUUUUAUAUUUAUUUCAUGUUAUAUGGGCUUUUUUUCUGCAUGUAUGUGUACCACCUGCAUGCAGUAUCUACCAAGGCCAGGAGAGGGCAGAAGAUCCCUUGAAACUGGAGCAUCUUCAGGUUGUGCUCCACCAUGUGGGCCCUGGGAACUCAACCUGAGCCCUCUGCAAAGCACCCUGUGCUUUUAAGCACCGAGCCAUCUUUCCAAUUCCAAUUCUUAUUUUUUUCCCCUAAUUUUCUCCUGAUUUGUGGAUAUAUGUGUGGAUUUUUUUAACCUUUCUGUGCCUCGGUUUUUCUACCUCGAAAGUUGUAGGAAGGUCCUACAAAAUUGAUUCUAAACUGAGAGUACCUUCACUUACUCUCUGGAAAGGGCAGGUGGGAGCCCCAUGCUCAGAACUGCUCGGGAAGCUUGCAAAUGUUGGAGUCUGAUCAACACCGUGCUAUAGAGCAUGUAGCCCUGAACACCAAGCAAGUGAGGAGAACCCUGGGUAUAAAGUUUGCAUGAUUCCAUAAGACUUUAAUUUUUGUUUUAAGGGUUUACAUAUUUUGUUGGAGGAGGAAAUAAAACAUGGACUUCAAAAAUAAUGGGAAGACCAAAUUAUGAUGAAAUGAUGAGUUCCUUUGUGGUCUGCUUGGGUUGUGUGCUGUAUGUGGAGCCUAUGUGUCCCAUCAGUUCUGUGGCAUUGAAUUUCUCAUGAGACAAGCUGAACUUCCAGCUUACCAGGGUACCUUAGUCCUGAUGAUACUCAGUUAUCUGAUGCCAGGCAGAUGUCAGGAACUCCAGAAACACUAACGCCAAAGAGUCCCCUUGACACAUCCCGAAGGCUUCUUUUGUCACAAUGCCUUGCAUUUCAUCAGUAAUUUUGCACUUUAUGAAAGUUUAAAGGUGUGGCAUUUCAGUUGUAAUCCUGGUUUUGCUUUUUAAAAGGAUAAUUAUUACUUCCUCAUGAAAUGAAUAUAAUGAGAGCAACAAAUUAAAAAGAAUGCCAAAUGAUGGUUCUGUAAAAGCUUUUUCACAUAAAUGUAGUGGGGGAGAUGUUUCCAGUUAGUACACACAUAUCUAUCAGUGUCUAAGACUUGCUUAUAUUUUCCUUCAUAGAAGUAGUCAUAGCAUGUUAUAAUUGCCUUAUGUAGAUAAAAAAGGCUCUUAAGUUUUACAAUAAUAUUUAUUAUUCUGUAUAUGUUUUAAAAUAAAGUAACAUUUCUAGCU
rnacentral:lncRNA from 1 species